rnacentral:rRNA from 1 species
UACAGAGGGUGCGAGCGUUAAUCGGAAUUACUGGGCUUAAAGCGCACGUAGUCGGCUGUGCAAGUCGGGUGUGAAAUCCCCGGGCUCAACCUGGGAACUGCAUCCGAGACUGCAUUGCUAGAGUAUGGGAGAGGGAAGCGGAAUUUCUGGUGUAGCAGUGAAAUGCGUAGAUAUCAGAAGGAACAUCAGUGGCGAAGGCGGCUUCCUGGACCAAUACUGACGAUUAGGUGCGAAAGCCAGGGGAGCAAACGGG